GGGGGGGGGGGUCUCCGUUUGUAUUGCUGCGGCUGCUCUCUUUCGCUUUUUUCAGCUUUUUCUCUUUGUUAUCUCUUAUGCGCAGCCUUUUUUUUUUUGUUCCCCUUUUUCAUUGGGUAAAGAAUGGUUUUAUAGAGUGUCUGGAAUGGGGUGUUAUGUGGGGAAGUCUUAUUUGGGGAGAAGGUGUUAUGUGAGGUAAUAUUUUGGGGGGAAGGUUUUAGGUGGGGAAAUAUUUUGGGGGGAAGAUUUUAGGUGGGGAGAAAUGAUUUGGGGGGAAAUAUUUUUGGGGAAGGUUCUUCCCAUUUUUAUUCCUAAUUUCUUUUUAUCUUCCUUUUUUGUAUUUUAUUUAUUUAUUUUGUAUUUUAUUUUCUGAUUUUGUUAAAUGCUAAAUUAAAAACCAAAACUCAAAUUGACUCUAAAAUUAUACUUCCAAAUUUCCAAUUACACUAAUUCCCUAUUUUAAAUGCAAACUAAACAGAUUAAAACUAAAAAAUGCAAAAAUGACCAUUUUUGUUAUUUUCAUUUUCCUAAAAGUAAUUCACUAUUAAUUAAUCCUAAAAUGUAAAAUUAAAUUCUAAAUGCAAAUGUCAAGUAUUUUGGUAUUUAUUAUUUUGAUUUUGAAAUAUUAAAAUGCAUGAAAUGCAACUAAAAAAGAAACAAUUCCUAAAAAAUCAAAUAAAAAUUAUUUAGACUUAUUUUUAGGAGUUAUCUUCAUGUAGGGCAAAAAUCACAUGCUUACAGCUGCCCCUCUUUGCUCGGAAACACGAAGAGUUUUCGGGCAAAGAUAAAGUAAGCACUGUGAGGGAUUUUUGCCCAUUUGAAACUCCAUGAGAAACAUUUUUUGAAAAACUGUCUGACCGAACCUUGCUUCAAAGGUUGCCCACAUAUCCUUGGCUAUAAAGAAAUCAGGUCAGGUGUAGUUCAGAAGUGAACGAGGUGAUGGAGUACCGAGGUUGAGAGUCGAGGUACCGUCCGAGGCUCCGGUCUGCUGUCUCGUUAUUACAUCAAAGUCAAAAUUGAAAAAUACUAACUAAGUCUAUCAGCUACAAGUUACAAGAUUCCUAUCUAUGAGUCUUCUGAAGCUUGAUCUUGAGUCUUGGUUGGUGCUUCAUGCGGACCCUGAUCUGAAUCUUGAUUCUUGUUGGCCGCAGGUGUUGGUUCAAUCUUCUUCUGGGUCAAGACCGGACAUGUAGUGCUCAUGACUUCAACCACGUCUUGAGCAGUUCACUUCUUUUCCUGCUUCUGAACUUUGGAGCUCACUUUUUUGUUCUUUUUCUUCUUUCCUUUGUUUUGAAUUGAGACUCAUUCUUUCUGCCAUCUCGAAUCGUGUGCCUCGAGGUCAAACCUGCUCGGCACUUUGAACCAUUUUCCCUUGAAACUUGAGUUGUCUUCCGUCGACACUGAUUUCCCUUGAAACUUGAGUUGUCUUCCCUUGCUCCCCAGGUGAAAUCCAUUGUUGCCUUUUUGAAUUGUAACAGAAUUCAUAAAUGUAAGAUAAAGGCAGAAGUUGGAAAAACGAAAGGAAGGAAUAAUUUGGAAAAAGAUAAAGGCAGAAGUUGGAAAAGAAAGGAGGGCAUAAUUUAGAUAAAAGCAGAAGUUGGAAAAAGGAGGGAAGGCAGAAUUUGAGGAAAAAGAAAGGAAGGCAUAAUUUAAAGAAGGAGAAGGCAGAAGUCGGGGAAAAAAAAGAAAGGAAGCCAUAAUUUGGGAACAAGAAAGGAAGGCAGAAUUUGAAAAGAAACGAAGUUGGAAUUUGGAAAUUAAGAAAGUCUGGAUCACACAAAAAUGGACCUAGUCUGAUGAAUUAUCUCCUAGAGUCAAAAUCUCAGUCCGAUGAAUCUUCCUCCUGAGAUCACACAAAAAUGGACCUAGUCUGAUGAAUUAUCUCCUAGAGUCACAAUCUUAGUCUGUUGAAUCUUUCUCCUAAGAUAAAAAUCUUAGUCUGAUGAAUUUUUCACCUAAGAUAAAUAUAAAAGUCUUAGUCUGUUGAAUCUUUUUCCUAAGAUGAAAAUCUUAGUCUGACGAAUUUUUCACCUAAGAUAAAGACAAAAAUCUUAAUCUGUUGAAUCUUUCUCCUAAGAUGAAAAUCUUAGCCUGAUGAAUAUUUUACCUAAGAUAAAAGAUAAAAAUCUUAGUCUGUUGAAUCUUUCUCCUAAGAUGGAAAUCUUAGUCUGAUGAAUUUUUCACCUAAGAUAAAGAUAAAUCUUAGUCAGUCGAAUCUUUCACCUAAGAAGAAAAUCUUAGUUUGAUGAAUUUUUCACCUAAGAGAAAUUUUAAAUUUUAAGAUACAUUUCAGUCUUUAAAUUUUUAAAAGUUGCAUUUCAGUCUUAUCACAAUUCAAGUUUUAGUUCUUAUUAGUAUGUGGUAACAAACACCCAGUUUUCCAAACUGGGGCAGAAAGUUUUCUUUGUUUUGUCUAUUUUUGUGAAGUCAGGAGCCCGCCUGGAUAAUAGAAGAAUACAUUCAACUUCAAAUUCAGCAAUCAGGAGCCCGCCUGAAGAACAGAAGCAUACAAUUCAAGUUUUGAAAGUCAGGAGCCCGCCUGUAUAACGGAGGUAUUUCAAGUCAAGUUUUAAUCAUAUUCUUAUAAAUAUCCAGUAACAUGUACCCAGUUUCCAAACUGGGGCAAAAAGUUUUCUUUGUUGUGUCUAUUUUUAUGAAGUCAGGAGCCCACCUGGAUAAGAGAGCAGUCGCAGCAAUACAAAGGAGACCCCCCCCCCCCCUCCGAUGGACUCAUCUUCUUCAGAUAAGUCAUCUUCCAUGGCUUCUUAAUAAAGAGCGCACAAGGACUCCCCCCAUGUCAUCUUCUUCUCCAAGAACCCAACCCCCUGAAGAGCGUCUUCUUUGUCACCUCUACCAAACCGGCGACGCUUCAUCUCCUCCACCAAGCUCGCCGAAAAUCCAACAAUGAUCUUCAUCAGAAACACACACACACACACGAAAGCACACAGAGAUACACAACUGCUUCAGUUUCAUUAUGAUGAUUUUGAUUUUUGGAUUUGUUGUGGAGUUCAAUUAAAUUUCAAAGUUUCGCUUCUUCUGAUUUCAAUGGAAAUUGAUUCGACUCCGGUCAUGGAGUUUUCUUUGAGUUUUAUUGCUGUUUCUUUGGUUCGAUGGUGACUGUUCGAGGUAGAUUUUUUUCCGUCGAGGUCUUGUUCACAUCACCGAUUCCGUUUUUUUAGGUUAAUUUUCAUCUCUUGCUUUAUUAAGGUCUUGUUUGCGUUGGUGGUUGUUAAUGAAUUUUCUGGUGAUAGGCUGAAAUUUAAUUACCUCCUAUUGUAGUUUAAAGUUUACCGUGAAAUAGAUUGUAUCCAUAUAAGAAAGUAUUCAUUGCAAGUUAGUUCAUGAAAAAAAAUGAUUGUUGCUGUAAAAUUCGGAUUACUUUUCUAGUAUAACAACUUGGUUGUGUUCUUGAAUUUAUUUAAGCAUGUCUUCAUGUGUCCUCAAAUUAGUUUAAGUCACUACUAUUUGCCGAUAAGAAUAUCCUCUUUUAAUGUUGUCUCAUGGCAAAGAAAAGAUGUUUUCAGUUGUGGCUGGUUAGCUUUUCCAUCUGUUUCUAUGGAGCUUUUGGCUUGGAAUUUUAGUGUUAUUUUGGUGUUGUUUCAUGGUGGAGUUUGCAACAUUUCUUUCAGUUGUUUUCCUGCAUUUUGUGUAUAUUUUAGGCCAAAAACAAAGCUGUUUUUGGCUUAUUUCGGGCCGUUAUUGGGGAUGGUUUUGAUGAAAGAAAGGUGACAUUUCAGCGACUUAUUUUUGCUAAAACAGUGGUGUUUGGAAAGUGAUUAAGGGCUGAUUUUCACGGUUGAUUUUGUUAGGUUUGGAGAUGAUUUUUUGUGUUAAUUUUCAAGUUGUUUUGAGGUAUCUUUGGGGGUUAAUGGAUUGGGUGAUGGGGGCUCCUUUCAUAUCUACAAUAAGACAAUAGAAAGAUGAAGAAGAUUUGUGUGCUCUUAUGGAUGAGCGUUCUUCAACCUUUUCCUAUGGGAAGUUCACGUGAGUAGUAAAAAAUAUAAAAUGACCCAUAAUACUUUGUUUAACCACCAGCUGCACGAUGACCCCGAAUCUAGGAUUAAGCAAUUGGUGAACAAUGCGCUAGUUGCUUUAGGCGCGUUAUAAUAAAAUUAUCAUAGCUACGUGUACGGUUCCCGUGACGUAGUUGUGAUACGUAAUCCUAAAUUCGGGUGCGCAUUUAUGUGACCCAAAUCCAAAUCUCGAUGAAGUCGAAAUGUGUUGACAAUCACGGGCGCAUUGAUUGCGACGGGGUCGAAACGCGUUUUAACGACAUCGUAAUUCUUAUAAAAUAAAUAAUGAUAGAAAAGAGGUUCACAAAUUAAGACGAGCCUCACCGCACAAAAAUAAAUAAAUGUGGAGCCCUCAAUAAAUGGUUAUUAAAAAUGAUUAAAAUUUGGAAUGGCCAUUUAGCGAACUUCACGGUCUUCCCCAAAAUAAUAUUACGUUAGAAUCUUUAGGCGCGAUUUUAAUUAAAUUACCUUCUUAAACUCAGGUGCGCAUUGAUGCGACCCAAAUCACAAUCUCGACGAAGUCGAAAUGUGUUAACAACCACGGGUGCAUUGAUUGCGACGUGGUUCGAAACGCGUUUUCACGAUGUUGCAAUUCUUUUAAAAUAAAUAAUGAUAAAAAGUGGUUUACGAAUAAAAGGCAUAUAAGCUAGCAGGUAUUAAAAUCAAAUGCAACAGUUAAGCGACCGUGCUAGAACCACGGAACUCAGGAAUGCCUAACACCUUCUCCCGGGUUAACAGAAUUCCUUACUUGGAUUUCUAGUUCGCAGACUGUUACAGAGUCAUAUUUUUCCUCGGUUUGGGAUUCAACCAGUGACUUGGGACACCAAAAGCCAAACCUUUCCCAAGUGGCGACUCUGAAUAAUUAACAAUUAAAUCCCGUUCCGAUUGUCCUUUAAGUGGAAAAACUCCCUUGAAUCUACACCCUAUACGGGGUGUAAGUGAAAAAGGAGGUGUGACUUAUUUUUAGGAGUUCCUCAAUUUGUGAACCUUCCCCAGCAGAGUCGCCAGAGCUGUCACACCUACUUUCUUUUCCAACUUCUGCCUUUAUCUUUUUCCAAAUUAUGCCUUCCUUUCGUUUUCCCAACUUCUGCCUUUAUCUUAGGUGAAAGAUUUAUCAGACUAAGAUUUUUAUCUUAGGUGAAAAAUUCAGCAGACUAAGAUUUCUUUAUCUUAGGUGAAAGAUUCAACAGACUAAGAUUUCUUUGUCUUAGGUGAAAAAUUCAUCAGACUAAGAUUUUUCUUUUAACCAUUUUCCUUCGAAAUUUGUUUUAUCUACCCACUAACUUGAAUUAUCUUCCUUCAGAACUGCUUCCCUAAAAACUGGUGUUGUCCUCCUUCAAAAAACCACUUCCCUAAAAACUAGUGUUUCAUUCCUCCAAAAAUUACUUUUCUUAAAACUGGUGUUUCUUUCCUGAAAACUACUUCCCUAUUUUUUUUUCUCUUUUUUGAAACACUUGUAUUAACCUUCAUGUUCUUCAGAUGGGUACCUGACUUCAAAAAAAAA
rnacentral:lncRNA from 1 species